UUUUUAAUGUUUUUCAGUUAUUUAUUUAAUUUAAAAUUUAAUUGUAUACAUAUAUUUUUUAAAGAGUAAUUUUAUAAUUUAAAUUUUAUCACAUCACUUUCUCAACCUCACUUUUUUUUGGAUAUGAAACAUUGAAGAACAAUUUAGUUUGGUUUCCCUAUUAUUUAGUUGCCUUUUGGCAUAGAUUUAUGGAUACACAAA
rnacentral:lncRNA from 1 species